rnacentral:lncRNA from 1 species
UUUUUUCUGCUUUUUACCUUACAUAUUUCAUCCAUCUGCUUUUUAUUCCUGUGCCAUUAUAGAAGUACAGAAUUCAAAAUAUGGUAUGGUAGACUAUUCAAUUUUAAUCCUAUUUUAAUACAAAAAAUAAAGUUCCUGGAACCAUCCAUGCAAACAAAAUGUUGAAUUGGUUACAAUGAAUCUUACUAAUAUAAGUAAUGCUUACAUUA